rnacentral:lncRNA from 1 species
UCCGUACUUCAUCAGUUAUGCAUUCGAUAAUUUAUACAUCAUAAUUACACAAUUUAGUACAUAUAUUUUUAAUUAAAGUAUAUAAAUACACAAUUUAAUUUUAUGAACUUACCUCAAACUAGUAUGACAGAAAAUGAUCGUUUAUUCGAUAACUUUGUCCUUUCCCUAAUCUAAUUCCUUUCGUUGCUUUUCUUGAUCUAUAUAAUCAAAUUAACUAUUUUAAUCAUUAUUCUAUUAAAUUAAAUCCAAAAAUUCAGGUUUUGACAAAAUUACUAUUUUCCCCUAUACUUUUAACCUUUUUACAAUUUAGUCCCUAGGCUCGUAAAAUGAUAUUCAUGAAAUUUGACCCUUAACCAAGCCUAGCCAAAAUUUCAUAUACACUUAUAUCAGCCCAUACAAUCCAAAAUUUCACACAUUUAACACACAAUUUUCAUAUUUCACAAUUUAACCCCUAAAUGGUAAUUUUAUUAAAAAUCCCUUAACAAAAGUUGUUUAAUUAACAACAAAGACUCAUUUUAUUCCAAUAAAAUUCUAAACCCUAACAUAUGCAUCAAUUAUAAAACCCUAGGCUUUCAACCAUUUUACAAAUUAGUCCCCUAUUUAGCUAGAUUAAGCUACAAAGAUACCAAAAAUGUAAAAAUCAACAAAAAUGAGACAAUGAAUCACUUACAUGCAAAGAGAAAGCUUGAAUAAAAUCUCUUCUCCCCUCAUAUGGUGAUAUUCAGCCAACACCAAAAGAAAUGGGAGAAAGAUGAUAGCUAUUUGUUUUACUAAUUUGGCCUUUAAUUACCUAAUUACCUUUUUGCCCUUACCUAACUUUAAAAUUUUCAUAAAUACCAAGCCAUGCUCAUCCAAUAACUCAAAUAAUGGUUCAAUUACCACAAAAGGACUUUCACUUUAAGGUUCUAUAGCUAUUUAACACUUUUAGCUAAUAGAACACAACUUUCGCUCUUUACGCGACUCAGUCCUUUUUCACAAAUUGAGCAUACAAAUGGUAAAAUUUCUUAACAAAAUUUUUAUAACAUAAUUCUAACAUGCUGUAGAUAUUAAAAUAAUUUUAAAAUAUUUUUUUCAACUUCGGAUUUGUGAUCCCAAAACCACUAUUUUGAUUUCACUAAAAACGGACUGUUACACCUACACAUCUAUCCGCUACAUACAACGAGUUCUCCAAAAUGCUUCACCUGAACACCAAAAAUAGCAAGAGUCGAAGGAAAGAAAUCGACGUUAGAUCUUAUAUAUAUACAACACUUACACUACUCGAUUCAGAUCUGUGAUGAUUGGAAUGUAGAACUGACAAUAAAUAAAAGGAAAGGAAAGGUGAUUGAGGAGCUUUAAGGGGAGAAAAUGGUGUGAAAAAUGGGCAGUAACUAUUCAACUAACAAUUGAUGGUAGAUGCGGCCAUAUCAGAUCUGUGAUGAUUGGAAUGUAGAACUGACAAUAAAUAAAAGGAAAGGAAAGGUGAUUGAGGAGCUUUAAGGGGAGAAAAUGGUGUGAAAAAUGGGCAGUAACUAUUCAACUAACAAUUGAUGGUAGAUGCGGCCAUAACAAAGAAAGAUAAACAAAGAGAGAGUGGAAGGUUUCCAAUGGACAGCGACAAGAAUAGUGGUUGUUCACUUGGGAGGUGUCAACAAUGGAAGGAAAAAGAAGAAUAUGGAAGGAAAUUAGGACUUAGGAGCGGUACAAUGAAAAAGAAAGGGAAAGUAAAUUCACGGAAGAGAGGGAGAAAAAUGGGUGGGACGGUAGAGAGGGUGAACAAAAAGAGGCUGAAAUGAAAAGAAAAAUACAUUUAAUACCUAGGGUUACAAUAUGGGGUGACAAUUGCUAGGGUUUUGGGAAAAAAACUGAAAAUAAAAAUUAUGCAAAAGAGGGGGAAUUGAACUCAAGUCUCAAGAACAUUUUACUAACUCUUAACCAUCUAACCAAUAACUUAAUCUUGCUAUAAUAAUGCAAUGUUAAUAAUAAAAAUUCAGGAUGUGACAAAUUCUCUUUUGUUUAAUGCUUGAAUAUCUCUCACUUGAGUAUUGAAAUGUUCUUGAUGAGUAUUUAUACAAAUUGUUUAUAGUUGUUAGGUUUUUUUGGAGCCAUUUGGAACAUUAGUUUUGGGUUCAAAAAGUGUUCCUGUUGCUUAUGUUUCAAUGCUAAAAAGUAUGUAUUGGUACAUCUCAUAAAAAAUAGUCAUUAGAAAAUUCUCGUACACGAACAUAGCUCAUUUUCUGAUACAAAAUGUAUAGGAACAUAUAUAUGUUUUGAUACCUUUCAAGUCAAUAGCUUACGGAUUCUUUAUGUUCUGAUACAUUUGAAUAUGUAUCGAAACUAGGUUAUAGGUUUUUAUAAAUCAAUUUAAA